GGAAUGUUCUUCUCUUUAGUUUGAGCAAAUGACCGCAUGUACUGAAUCCAACUGUGUGAAACAAUCUCAGAAUGGCAGCACCGCUGGCAUGGCGAUGGUGCAGGUGAAAUAUCACCACUUUGGUGAGCACCAACAUGGUCAGAGUGCAAAUAACUGUGAUGGAUACUUCGAGUAAGCAUCAGUGGAAGAAGACCAAAGCAAGAGCAACUAGAAGUUAAAUAUACAUUUGAGCUCAGCUGCAAUACAGAACUCUG